AUCGCCUUUCAGGGGUGCCUUUACGGCUGAGAACAGACCCUUUGAACCUGAUCUGGAUCAUACCAGCGCAAGGAAGAAAAUCGCGAUACACA
rnacentral:ncRNA from 1 species